rnacentral:rRNA from 1 species
CCUANGGGUGGCUGCAGUAACGAAUCUUCCGCAAUGCACGAAAGUGUGACGGAGCGACGCCGCGUGUGGGACGAAGUUCUUCGGAAUGUAAACCACUGUCAGGGGAAAGAAAGUUCUGAUCUACCCCAGAGGAAGAGGCGGCUAACUCUGUGCCAGCAGCCGCGGUAAUACAGAGGCCUCAAGCGUUAGGCGGAAUCACUGGGCUUAAAGCGUGUGUAGGCGGACUUCUAAGUACCUUGUGAAAUCCCACGGCUUAACCGUGGAACGGCUUGGUAUACUGGUUGUCUUGAGCCACUUAGGGGCUACCGGAACAAAUGGUGGAGCGGUGAAAUGCGUAGAUAUCAUUUGGAACGCCAAUGGUGAAAACAGGUAGCUGGGAGUGUGCUGACGCUGAGACACGAAAGCCAGGGGAGCGAACGGGAUUAGAUACCCCGNUANUC